rnacentral:rRNA from 1 species
ACGGAGUUAGCCGGGGCUUCUUCUGCGGGUACCGUCAUCAUCUUCCCCGCCGAAAGCGCUUUACAACCCUAAGGCCUUCUUCACGCACGCGGCAUGGCUGGAUCAGGGUUGCCCCCAUUGUCCAAUAUUCCCC